GGCCGGUCCGAAAGCACUGGGUUCUCACAAUUGAUUGCUUACAGUCAGUUUCAGAAAUCCUUGUUUCUUCUCUCCCCUCUCCCAUUGCUGACUUUGACCGGCCUUUU
ensembl:Y_RNA Y_RNA Y RNA